rnacentral:misc_RNA from 1 species
AUCGGUUGAUGAUGGCAAUUAGAGAGCGUGAAGAGCCCUCGACUGACUGGGCCACAUUCUCCUGUCAGGUGAUGGCAUCAUGUUUGACAUAUGAAGAUGCAAAGUACAAAGAAAAAAAUUCGGAAGCGACGUCCGACCUAACAUUGAAUAAUGAAGAGCGGGAGAAGAGAAAAAGGAAGGGACUGCAGCAUACUCUUUCUUCAUUUGAGGAUGAGGACUUCUAUGACCAAGAUGAACGACGUAACACUCAGCCAGCCCCUCAACUUCCAGAACGUGCACCAGAGCCCAAGCAAAAACGCACACGUGAGCUGUGCGCACCUGCUUUAAACAGAAGGCAGAAAACAAUGAGCCAGCCAUCAUCGUGCAGGAAGCCGACGCCAAAUGGGCUGCUGCUGAAUCGGUCAGGCAUGCACCAGCUAGGACCAAGAAAAUGGAGCAGUGUGCCCCUUCUCAGGAGUGACUGAGGGGCUGCCACAAGGGGAGAAGGCAAGCAUGUUUCUGAUUACAAGGAUGGACAGUUGGGCUGGGCUAGUUGCCAUCCCAUGAGUAGAGUCCCUGUUGUUUGAAU